rnacentral:rRNA from 1 species
UUAAACUAAAGCCGAACGUCCUCAAAGCUGUUUAACGCUUCCGAGUUAAGAAGACCCAUUACGAAAGCAGCUUUACUCAACCUGACCCCACGAAAGCUGUGAAAAAACUGGGAUUAGAUACCCCACUAUGCUCAGCCCUAAAAUUUGAUAGGUCCCUACGCCCCCUAUCCGCCCGGGUACUACGAGCGUUAGUUAAAACCCAAAGGACUUGGCGGUGCUUCACAUCCGUCUAGAGGAGCCUGUUCUAGAACCGAUAACCCCCGUUAAACCUCACCCUCCCUUGUUAAUACCGCCUAUAUACCGCCUAUAUACCGCCGUCGUCAGCCUACCCUGUGAAGGACUAGAAGUAAGCAAGAUUGGUAAGCCCAAAACGUCAGGUCGAGGUGUAGUGUAUGAGAGGGGAAGAAAUGGGCUACAUUUCCUAAAUCAGGAAAUACGAACAAUGGACUGAAAUAAACAUUAGAAGGUGGAUUUAGCAGUAAGCAGAAAAAUAGAGUGUUCUGCUGAAGUAUGGCAAUAAAGCACGCACAUAUCGCCCGUCACUCUCCCCGAGCUACCUAAAAAAUUACAUCUCGAAAGGGGAGGCAAGUCGUAACAUGGUAAGCGUACCGGAAGGUGCGCUUGGAAUAAUCAGAGUGUAGCUUAG